rnacentral:rRNA from 1 species
GGCUCUUAGUGGCGCACGGGUGCGUAACGCGUGGGUAAUCUGCCCUCAGGUUCGGAAUAACAGCGAGAAAUUGCUGCUAAUACCGGAUGAUAUCGCGAGAUCAAAGAUUUAUCGCCUGAGGAUGAGCCCGCGUAGGAUUAGCUAGUUGGUGUGGUAAAGGCGCACCAAGCCGACGAUCCUUAGCUGGUCUGAGAGGAUGAUCAGCCACACUGGGACUGAGACACGGCCCAGACUCCUACGGGAGGCAGCAGUGGGGAAUAUUGGACAAUGGGCGAAAGCCUGAUCCAGCAAUGCCGCGUGAGUGAUGAAGGCCUUAGGGUUGUAAAGUUCUUUUACCCGGGAUGAUAAUGACAGUACCGGGAGAAUAAGCUCCGGCUAACUCCGUGCCAGCAGCCGCGGUAAUACGGAGGGAGCUAGCGUUAUUCGGAAUUACUGGGCGUAAAGCGCACGUAGGCGGCUUUGUAAGUUAGAGGUGAAAGCCUGGAGCUCAACUCCAGAAUUGCCUUUAAGACUGCAUCGCU